rnacentral:tRNA from 1 species
GGGGGCCGAGAAAAGCAGCUGCAGACUGCGCCCGGAGAAGCCCUGGUUCCACGUCAUCGGACGCGGGUUCGAUUCCCGCCACCUCCACCA